rnacentral:lncRNA from 1 species
UCAUUUAAGGUUACAACAGCAUUGGGUUUCAUUUUAGGAUACUACAGUAUCAGGUCCAUAUUUACAUCAAAGAAUACACAAGAUACAAUAUUUGAGAGAUACUACUGUAUCAGGUCCAUAUUUACAU